GUCCAUGCCGUAACGAUGAUUACUAGGUGUUGGGAUUGACCCCUCAGUGCCGCAGUUAACACAAUAAGUAAUCCACCUGGGGAGUACGAACCGCAAAGGUUGAAACUCAAAGGAAUUGACGGGGCCCGCACAAGCAGUGGAGUAUGUGGUUUAAUUCGAAGCAACGCGAAGAACCUUACCAGGUCUUGACAUCCGAUGCAUAACACAGAGAUGUGUGAAAUCCUUCGGGACAUCGAGACAGGUGGUGCAUGGUUGUCGU
rnacentral:rRNA from 1 species